UACGUAGGAUGCAAGCGUUGUCCGGAAUUAUUGGGCGUAAAGAGCGCGCAGGCGGUAACUCAAGUCAGAUGUGAAAUAUCCGGGCUUAACCCGGAGGGGUCAUUUGAAACUGAGUAACUAGAGUACAGCAGAGGAUAGCGGAAUUCCCGGUGUAGUGGUGAAAUGCGUAGAUAUCGGGAGGAACACCAGUGGCGAAGGCGGCUAUCUGGGCUGAAACUGACGCUGAGGCGCGAAAGCGUGGGGAGCAAACAGG
rnacentral:rRNA from 1 species